AUGGCAAGCAUAUUUACCUGCUGAGCCAUCUCCCUAGUCCCUCACCAGAAUUGUCUCAUCAAAUUUUCUAUGCAGUUGUUUACUUAUUUUGGUAUCAAGAUAGUGUAGAUGCUGAGACAAGAAAGGGAUAUCUAGAAUAAGAAUGUUAUCCCGAGGUGUGCAUACUUUCCUUUCCCUCCUAAGUCAUGGCAAACUCUUAAAAGCCUAGGUCAAAUAGAGUGUCAUAAUUGUCAACACAAAGCUCUAGAGAAUCAAACUGUGGAUUUAUCCAUGUUGGCAAAUAAGUUGAAACAUAUAUUCAGUCCUUUUGGCCUAUAACAUGAGGAAGAAUGUCAAAGAGAUACCUGAUCAGGCUGCGCCACAGUGGAGAAGGGUCAACAGGGGCAAAAGGAUGAGGCUGUAACAUAAUGACCAGUUGGACAAUCCUUUCUUCCAUAUGCAUACAACCUAACUGCAGUGCUUUUCAAUUUCCUGGGUGUGGAAAUGAUCGGUGGUCUUGUUGAAAUGCAGCUCUGAUUUAUCAUAUCUUGGGAAGGACUCAGGACGCUAUAUUUCUAACAAAAACGUGGGUGUUGUGGUGGUUUGAAAGAGAAGGUCUCCAUAGUCUCAGGCAUUUGAAUACAUAUUACCCAGUUGGUGGUCCUGUUUGGCAGGUUUAGGAGAGAUGGCCUUCCUAAAGGAAGCAUGUCAGUGGGGGCCUGCAUUGAGAGUUUAAGGUUUUGCCCUCCUUGUAGUUUGCUCUCUCUGCUUUGAGAUGUGAGCAAGCUCUCAAUUUUCUGCUGUAGCCACCACGCCGGCUGUCAUAUCCCUCUGGACGAGCCCAAAUAAGUUGCCUCGGUCAUGGUGUUUUAUCACAGUGACAGAAAAGUAACUAAAACAGGUGUUACUGAUAUUGCUACAAAGGCCCACAUUUUGAGCAAUGAGAUGGCCUUAGUUAAUGAGAAACUCAUGCCUUGGGCUCCGGACUCUUUGUUCUCCUGAUGUUGUGGAGGAGUGAGACCAAAGUAGAAAUUAGAACAUCCAAAUUUAAAUUUGAGUGUGCCACUUAUUUUAUGGCCCCAGCCUUUGAGACCCAUUUCUCUUAUCUGUAAAUCAAAGAAAAAAAUCCCUCAUACCUCAUGCAGUGCUCAUAAAGAUCAAAUAGAUACCAUGUACAGGCUAUUGGUAAGGGUUCAAUAAGUGGUAGUUAACUCUGAACUAGCCAAAGCCAACAGUAUCUGGAGAAGACACAAGCUAUGGCUACAAAUCUCCAUGGUUUCCAGAAGAACAGUUUUAUCAGCCUGCCAGAUGGGGAUCGACAGAAUGCCAAACAUGUAAAUAUUUGGAAUGCAUUAAAAACACGCUCAACAAGUAUCUCUUCCAUUCAGAUUGGUCUUUUGGCUUAAGGAAGUAUAAGGGCAAGGGGGGUUUCUGCAGAAAGAUGCUAUCUAACUUCACUGGCUCUUUUGUAUACUUUGGAGCAGCUAACAGACAUGUUGGAGAAUGGUAAUGCAUGCAACAUGGAUAAUCUCAAUUUUCAGAAAGCCUUUGAUACUGUUCCAUAUAAUAGGCUGCCUAAACCAAAGACAGCAGGGAUUCUUGAUGAAACCCUGGGAAAAAAGAGAUUGGCUAGAGAACAAAACAAAAAGUUGAGAAUGAAACAGAAUGGAAAAUAGAUAGAAGAUGGGGUUACUUUCCAAGAACAAGGGAGAAAAUAUGGAUGCUGCAAUUAUGAUCGUGACAUAGGCUGGUACACUGGAUGGAAAACAGAAGACAUGGAAAAAUGCUGGACAGUAAUAUGACAUUUCUAUGACAACACCUUAAUGUUAUAAGAACUAGGUAUUGACAUGACUAGAAGAAUGUUUAAAAUGCUUAAAAUGACAUGAAAUCAGUUAUGACUUAUGAAUAAAAGUAUCCAGCUCAAGACUUAGAAAAAAGCUUUAUAUUAUAAUUAAUUAUAGCCACUGUAACCCCAUGGUACUAAGAAAUAUAUAUUAUUAUAAAUCAGUAGACCUUAAUGGGGAGGUAUGUUUUACCUGGAAAAUUUAGUAAUGCCUGGAGAAAUUUUUGUCAUAUUUUGGGAGGAGGGUAGUCCUGGCAUCUCCUGAGUGGAGAUGAAAGGUACUAAGAAACAUCUUAAAUGCAGGGUAAAGGACAGGAACCUCCUUUUCAACUAUGUGUAGUUGCCUUAAUAAAUCCCCCAAUAUAGACCAGUCUGGAGGUUGCUGCACAGAAUCCAUAAAAAACAAAAAAAAUAACAAAAAAAACCCCCGUGAGUUCCAAUCUGGCUCCCAGAUGUUUGCCUCUGCUCAUCCUGGCUAGUCUUUUAGAAGCCAUUUUCUUUUAGAGAAAAAAAAGUGGCUUUAAUUAAAGAUUGAGGAGGGUAAUUGGGAAAAAAUAAUGGAAAAAAAUUAAAAUCUCUUAUUGCUUAUUUUCUAUUACUUUCUGGCGUAUAACUCAGAGAAGAAAGCAUUUCUUAUAAUUAGAUUUCCCUAGAGGUGCACUAAAAUCAAAUCAGUCCAGCCUUCAGUGACUGAUUUCUAGGAAUAGGUCAAUGGGGCCUGGAAGGAGUGUAUGAGGUAGUAGGUUCAUAGGUUAUAUAGGGGAACUCAGUCUUCACUGUCAACCCUAUGGCCUAUCAUUUCCCACUUACUGAUUCUUCCCCAUGAAGUUUUGUCUCCUGUUGUGAAAUGAAUAUUUUAUACCAGAAUCUUCCUUAAGCAGCUUACUCUGCUAACUGAUUAAUUAACCUUAGAUGGAAUAGAACAGAACGGGGCCUUGGAGCCCAAGAGAAGCCAGAGAAAGGAAUUCUGAGACUAGACAACAAAGGAAGCGUCUUUGGUUUACACUUUCCUUAAAAGUCAGAGUUACUUGUAAAAAUGCAGCCCUACAUCAUUCAACACUUUACUCUCUACUUGUGUUGCUUCAAUGAUUUAUUUAGUCUUAAUUUUUCUACAUAUAUUUAUUUGUGCACAUAUAAAUGUGGGUUCAUGAAUCAUGGCGUGUGUGGAGGUCAGAGUGUAAAUUUCAGGAGUCAGCUCUUAUUAUGUGGGUUCUGUGGAUCACCAUCAGAUUGUCAGUCUUGAGGCAAGAGCCUUUAUUUGCUGAGUCAUCCUGCUAGCACCUUUUUGAGGCUUAAAAAAAAAAACAUUAUUCCAUAUAGCCAAGGUUAGCUUCAAACUCAUUGUGUAGCAAAGGAUGACACUGAAUUGUGUGGGGGGCCAAACCUAGGGCUUCAUGCAUCCUAUGGGGGCACUCUAUCACUGAGUUAUAUCCCUAACUUCAGUUUAACUUUAAAAAGAGAAGACUAUGUUUUUAAAUUAACAUGUGUAGUAGUUUGAAUGAAAUGACCCGUACAGAUUCAUGUAUUUGCACACAUGGUCCCUAGUUAGUGGUGGUGUUUGGCAAGGAUAUGGAACCUUUCAGAGGUGAUACUUUCCUGGAAGAAGUACUUACCUGGUAGGGGAGGGGCACUUUGAUGUUUUUUAUCCUUGCCUUACUUACUGUUCUUUCUUUCUGCUUCCUAUAUGGGAAUGGAAUGUGAUCAGUUUGCAUCCUGCUCCUGACACCAUAUCAUCCCUGCCUGUUGCCACGCCUUCCCUGCCUUGAUGAACUCCAUCCCUCUAGAAGUGAAAUGAAACCCACAAAGUGCAAAGAAUACAGUCAUCCACAGCCAAAAUUUAUUCAGUCCGUCAUAUACUUCUGGUUCCUGUGUGUGAACACACAGCACUCACUACGUUUUUUAGGUAAUUGAAAUAAUAUGAUGCUGAUGUGUGGCAUGUUCCUCAGAAUUGCAACAUGCUCUCCAGGCUGAAACAUUUGCUGCAGGAAGGAGUGGGAAGGCUCAAGAGCCUCAGGUGAUAAACAGGAGGCAAACAAAAGGUCACAUAUCCGGGAAGAACAGCAGCUUGGAAGUUCUUGAAGGCCCCUGUCUACAAUGGAAACUGAAGUAAACAGUUUCUAGGCGUGGAGACAAUGACCAGACAACUGGAAGAAAAUGUCCGGGCUGUGGAGCUGCCUGCAAAUUACUGUAUAAAGAGCCACAGAGUUGCUAUUUUGGGGAGUCCUCACCCAUGUUGGGGUGGGCUUUCUGGUGGUGCAGCUGCCUUUGAGUUAUCCCUGCUUCUUGUAAGCAACCCCUCACCCAUACUCCUGCUACUAACCUCAAUAAAACAAUCCAUUGGU